rnacentral:lncRNA from 1 species
CCAGACUUUUUCCAGCCAGGUUCAACUCCAAUCCGAACUACCCCGGACUCCGCCAACGGCUGAACUUCUCCAACGGUAUAUUCCUACAACUACCAGAUUUCAGCCCGGACUCCUACGGGAGCCGGAUCUCAUCCCCGACCUCGACUGCGGAAAGGCUUCGCCCGGACUCCUACGGAAACCAGGCUCCGUCCUCGACCCCGA